rnacentral:lncRNA from 1 species
AACAUAUCUGCGGGAUUCCAAACUCCACCUCAGGUUGAGGCGGGUAAUGAACCUGCUCAGCAAAGUUCUCUCUUAUUUCUUCUUGAUCCCGGCGAAUAAGAUCGGCUGUCUCGUCGUAUAGCCACUGGAUACUGUGUGCCCACCAAACGUAUCUGAUUGCGAUGGCUGACUAUAACUGUAAUCAAGUCCCAUUGUUACUUAACCUGCAAAAAAAAAUUAAGAGAAUUAGUAAAUUAUACACACUGAAAGGAACAGAAUCAAAAUUAAGAGAAUUAGUAAAUUAAGAGAAUUAGUAAGCAACAGAUUGACCAUUUAAAAAAAUUAUUUGAACCACAAGUGAAACUUUUUCAUAAAUAUUAGAAGGGAACAGAGUCAACAUACAAAUUAAGUUGCUUACUUAAUGUGACAAUAAAAUGAAAUUCCGGUUUGGUUAAGUUGGAUUUUCCGAAAUCGAGAUUCAGGUUAUUGCAAUGUGGAUAACCAAGUAAAAGAACCGUGAUUUACAAAUCACAAACCGAGUAAACCCUACUUUGGUAAAUACUAAAAGUAAAAACUAAAAAACUAAAGUAAACCAUGGGUGAGCGGGGCGUCACGAUCAGAUUCGGAUUGGAUAUUUUCGGUAUCAUGUAUUUUGGUUUAUAGAUUUUGAUAUUGAUCUGGAUAUUUUUUUUUAAAAAAUUGGUUCAGUCAAGACGGUUG